rnacentral:rRNA from 1 species
GACGAACCGUGCGAACGUUGUUCGGAAUUACUGGGCGUAAAGGGCGCGUAGGCGGCUCAUCAAGUCGGGCGUAAAAUCUCCGGGCUUAACCUGGAAAAGUCGUUCGAUACUGUUGGGCUAGAGUGUGGAAGAGGCUACUGGAAUUCCGUGUGUAGCGGUGAAAUGCGUAGAUAUGCGGAGGAACACCGAUGGCGAAGGCAAUCCCCUGGGCCUGCACUGACGCUCAUGCACGAAAGCGUGGGGAGCAAACAGG